rnacentral:snoRNA from 1 species
CCCCUCCCAGGGUCGCACUUGGAGAGUUUCCAGUACUGGAGAGUUUCCAGGUAACUCUACAAGUCUUGACUACAGAAGGGAGAGUCAAGCAGAGGCCUACCCAUUCCAUUCCUAGCUUGCCCAGUGGCUAGCGAGUGGAAGGCAAUCUGCUACAAGU